AAGAAGCCGGCCCUCGUGUCCCGGUGCCGGAGCCGGCGCGGCCCCUCAGGCCGGCCUGGCCUCGGAGGAGCCUCUCCUGCCUGUCCUGCCAGCCCUGCCUGUGUUCCCUGUGUUCCCUGUCCUGCCUGUCCUCCCUGUCCUCUCUGUAUUGCCUCUCCUGCCUGUCCUGCCAGCCCUGCCUGUGUUCCCUGUGUUCCCUGUCCUGCCUGUCCUCCCUGUCCUCUCUGUAUUGCCUCUCCUGCCUGUCCUGCCAGCCCUGCCUGUGUUCCCUGUGUUCCCUGUCCUGCCUGUCCUCCCUGUCCUCUCUGUAUUGCCUCUCCUGCCUGUCCUGCCAGCCCUGCCUGUGUUCCCUGUGUUCCCUGUCCUGCCUGUCCUCCCUGUCCUCUCUGUAUUGCCUCUCCUGCCUGUCCUGCCAGCCCUGCCUGUGUUCCCUGUGUUCCCUGUCCUCCCUGUACUGACUGUCCUCUCUGUCCUGCCUGUCCUCCCUGUCCUCUCUGUCCUGCCUGUCCUCCCUGUCCUCUCUGUCCUGCCUGUCCUCCCUGUCCUCUCUGUCCUGCCUGUCCUCCCUGUCCUCUCUGUCCUGCCUGUCCUCCCUGUCCUCUCUGUCCUGCCUGUCCUCCCUGUCCUCUCUGUCCUGCCUGUCCUCCCUGUCCUCUCUGUCCUGCCUGUCCUCCCUGUCCUCUCUGUCCUGCCUGUCCUCCCUGUCCUCUCUGUCCUGCCUGUCCUCCCUGUCCUCUCUGUACCGCCUGUCCUGCCUCCUGUGUCGGCGCUAGGCUUCUGCUGCACCUCCCAUGCCACCUAGUGGCUCCCCGAGCGGAAAACUCCUCCUGGAAGGCGGUGGGCAGGCACGCCCGCUCUGCCGGCCGUUCCGCGCACGUCAGGCGCGCUGUGAAGAGCCCCGGCCCCUCUGCAGAGCGGCCCGGCCCGCCCGCGGCCCGCCCCUCACCGCGCCCUCAGGCUGCCCGAGGCGCUGCCGCCCCCUGCUCCCUGCUCGCCGCUCUCUGCUGCGCUCUGUCCGCUCGGAGCCUUCACCCAUCUGGCGCUGCCGCCCCCUGCUCCCUGCUCGCCGCUCUCUGCUGCGCUCUGUCCGCUCGGAGCCUUCACCCAUCUGGCUGCUCCGCCCCAAGACCUAAUCCAAGUAUCUGGCAGAGAGGAGGUUGUACACUUUACUUUUAAGGACUCAGUGGUGGCGGACGCUCACCACAAAGUUCAUGUUAAA
rnacentral:lncRNA from 12 species